rnacentral:tRNA from 1 species
GACACUAUGGCCGAGUGGUUAAGGCGUCUGAUUACUAUCCAGAUUCCUUUGGGAGCACAGGUUCGAUUCCUGUUGGUGUCG